rnacentral:lncRNA from 1 species
GCACAGUGAGGGUCCGGCUGCAGAAUAUUUUGCCAGGAGUGGCUGUGAUUCCAUGAGCAGAAUAUGAGCCAUUUAUUCCCACUCAUUUUUUUGUGUUCUUAACAUACCAAAAACAGAGCAUCUGGAGUCGCCGUAGAGGAGGGAUGCAGGGUGAACCUGGACAUCGAUGGCUGCCUGUCCGGAGAAUGCUACUUCAUUAGUCUGUAAUUACUUCUGUUAACCCUCUAGGACAGGACCCUUGCCAUUUUACUUCCGCAGACAUGGGCAGUGAUGAGUGGUGGCAGUAGGUUAACCUCUUGCAUCUACUACCCCAAGCUGUAGGUGGUUUCCAGUGGCAGGGAUGGAGCUCUCAGGUACUGAUGCUGCUGUCUUGGAUCCUGGUGGCAGAGAAGGUGGCAGGUGCGAACACAUUCUUCUCUGGUUUUGAUAUUUGUUCUCUUGUCUGGCAUAUGAAUGUAGCUGUCACUUCUGUUCUGCAGGGCAGUCUGGAUCCUGGGGACCUCCUCUGUUAACUGGACGAUUUUGCAUGCCCUACCCUAGAGGCGCCCCGCCCCCACGGACUAUUAGGCACAUCCACCUCCUGAGCCUUGGUGGCCCUGGGGCCACCCCAAACCCCUCCACCUGCAACACUUGGUAAGAUGAUUUGAGCACUAGAAGUUGACUUGUAAAACACACUCAUCUUAUUUUUGUUGGUGUUAGGCCUUUGGCCAAGGUGCAGGGGCAGUGCCACAGACCAUUGUGAUACAAGGGGAAUGUGUCUGCUUCUAUUACCACAUUCCUCAAAUUUCUCAUGCUCAACAUACCAUCUUUGUCAUUUCUCCCACCAUGUGUUGGUACAGGCGUCUCUUGUGGGGAAGGAAUGGGGCCGUGUACAGAAAAGCAGACAUAGCGGUUCAGCAGUGAUGCCCUAUAAACAGUCCAUUUGCUGGGAUCUGUGAGGUAUGAGGCACAACAUAACGUAUGUCCAUCUAGUUGUGCUCCCAGCCAUCUAUAGUUGUUCGAUGAGUGAGGAAUACAUCUGAAUCAGGGCUUUUAGGAGUCUUCAUUAGGUUAUAAGGGAUGGUUCUUCAAGUUCUUCUUGGGGAUCACCUGAGGCAUGUGGGACACCCUCUGCAUCUGAUUUGGGAUCUGACUGGGGCAAAGAGUUUAAGUUGUCAGAAGAAUGAAGGGAGGGUUUUCUUUGUUUUUGUUUUUGAUCUCUAAACAGUCUACUCAAAUCAAAAUAAACCUCCAUCCCUUCUAGGGCCUUUAGCAGAUCCAGAAGCAGGUAUCACUCCCAAGAGUGACAUCA